rnacentral:rRNA from 1 species
GACGAACGCUGGCGGCGUGCUUAACACAUGCAAGUCGAGCGGAGCGGCGAACGGGUGAGUAACGCGUGAGUAACUGCCCCCCUCUCUGGGAUAACAGUUGGAAACGAUAGCUAAUACCGCAUACUAGUAGAUGACCUGCGUUGUAUUAGCUAGUAGGUAGGGUAAUGGCCUACCUAGGCAACGAUACAUAGCCGACCUGAGAGGGUGAUCGGCCACACUGGGCUGAGUUACGGCCCAAACUCCUACGGGAGGCAGCAGUGGGGAAUAUUGCACAAUGGGGGAAACCCUGAUGCAGCAACGCCGCGUGCGGGAUGACGGCCUUCGGGUUGUAAACCGCUUUCAGCCAUGACGCGGUAGUGGAAGAAGAAGCACCGGCUAACUACGUGCCAGCAGCCGCGGUAAUAC